AGCGGCGGACGGGUGAGUAACGCGUGGGUAACCUGCCUCAUACAGGGGGAUAACAGUUGGAAACGGCUGCUAAUACCGCAUAAGCGCACAGUACCGCAUGGUACCGUGUGAAAAACUCCGGUGGUAUGAGAUGGGCCCGCGUCUGAUUAGGUAGUUGGUGGGGUAACGGCCUACCAAGCCGACGAUCAGUAGCCGACCUGAGAGGGUGACCGGCCACAUUGGGACUGAGACAUGGCCCAA
rnacentral:rRNA from 1 species